UACGGAGGAUGCAAGCGUUAUCCGGAAUGAUUGGGCGUAAAGCGUCCGCAGGUGGCAAUGUAAGUCUGCUGUCAAAGCGUCUGGCUCAACCAGAUAAAGGCAGUGGAAACUACAUAGCUAGAGUAAGGUAGGGGUAGAGGGAAUUCCUGGUGUAGCGGCGAAAUGCGUAGAGAUCAGGAAGAACACCGGUGGCGAAAGCGCUCUGCUGGACCUUAACUGACACUGAGGGACGAAAGCUAGGGGAGCGAAUGGG
rnacentral:rRNA from 1 species